rnacentral:lncRNA from 1 species
CGUGAAUGGCCUCUUUGGGGAUAGUUGCGGUGGUCGCUGCUCUUCUAGUCCUGACGCGUGACGUGCUUGGGGUUGAUUGAUCGUUGAGCUCACCGCUGGUUUCGUCGUCGAGAUCCUGGCUUUCUCUCUGUGCUCUGCUUCGUGUAGUGAUUACACCGAUGCGAGGGAGGUUGUCUCCUUGAAGGUCGAUUCCUUUGCAUGGGAGAUCUAUGCUAGGAUUUUCUAUUCCUUCUACCGGUUUUAUUCUUUUUUAUCUCUGGAUUGGAAGUCGAAGCUAGCGCAGCUAGAGCGACGGCCGAUGUGUUAUCUCUUCUCGGGAUUUUUGUGAGUUCGAAUUUGUCGAAUUGUUGAGCAAUCUCUUGUAGGACUGCGAGAUAUGCUUCCAUUCUUUCGUUUUUUGCUUCAUAUUCUCCGUGGAAUUGGCUUGUGACUAACUGCGAGUCGCUGAAGGCGUUAAUUUCCCGGGCACCGACGCUUCGUGCG